AGGACGAACGCUGGCGGCGUGCUUAACACAUGCAAGUGGAGCGACGAACCAGGCUUCGGCCUGGGGCAGAGCCGCGAACGGGUGAGUAACACGUGGGUGACCUGCCCUCAGCUCUGGGAUAAGCCUGGGAAACUGGGUCUAAUACUGGAUAUGACUGCGCAUCGCAUGGUGUGUGGUGGAAAGUUUUUUCGGCUGGGGAUGGGCCCGCGGCCUAUCAGCUUGUUGGUGGGGUGAUGGCCUACCAAGGCGACGACGGGUA
rnacentral:rRNA from 1 species